UACGUAGGGUGCAGGCGUUAAUCGGAAUUACUGGGCGUAAAGCGUGCGCAGGCGGUUUGCUAAGACAGGUGUGAAAUCCCCGGGCUUAACCUGGGAACUGCGCUUGUAACUGGCAAGCUAGAGUGUGGCAGAGGGGGGUGGAAUUCCAGGUGUAGCAGUGAAAUGCGUAGAUAUUGGGAGGAACACCAGUGGCGAAGGCGGCUCACUGGACCGGAACUGACGCUGAUGCGCGAAAGCGUGGGGAGCAAACAGG
rnacentral:rRNA from 1 species